rnacentral:tRNA from 1 species
GGGAUUGUAGUUGAAUUGAUUGGAGCUCUGCCUUGUCAAUGCAGAAGCUGCGGGUUUGAGCCCCGCCAGUCCCA